rnacentral:ncRNA from 1 species
UUAAGUAGAGGCGCUUUCUGUAUCAGUACAUGUUCAUUUAUAUCCGGUAUGGUACAGGGUCGGCCCCAGGGCCGUAUAUCCUGACAGGGGGCAUGGAAAGGGCAGCGAGCCGAAGCUUUACGGACGACCGGAAGCCGUAUUGCUGGGUAUGCAGUUAAUAGCUGCAUAACUGUCAUCAUAUUGAUGGUAUGAUGGAGUGCUGCUUG